CCUACGGGAGGCUGCAGUGGGGAAUAUUGGACAAUGGGCGAAAGCCUGAUCCAGCCAUGCCGCGUGUGUGAAGAAGGCCUUCGGGUUGUAAAGCACUUUCAGUGGGGAAGAAAGCCUUGGGGCUAAUACCCUCGAGGAAGGACAUCACCCACAGAAGAAGCACCGGCUAACUCCGUGCCAGCAGCCGCGGUAAUACGGAGGGUGCGAGCGUUAAUCGGAAUUACUGGGCGUAAAGCGCGCGUAGGUGGUCUGAUAAGCCGGUUGUGAAAGCCCCGGGCUCAACCUGGGAACGGCAUCCGGAACUGUCAGGCUAGAGUGCAGGAGAGGAAGGUAGAAUUCCCGGUGUAGCGGUGAAAUGCGUAGAGAUCGGGAGGAAUACCAGUGGCGAAGGCGGCCUUCUGGACUGACACUGACGCUGAGGUGCGAAAGCGUGGGUAGCAAACAGGAUUAGAUACCCUAGUAGUC
rnacentral:rRNA from 1 species